UGCAAGUCGAACGAUGAAGUGGAGCUUGCUCCACGGAUUAGUGGCGAACGGGCUGAGUAACACGUGAAUAACCUGCCCUCAAUUUCGGAAUAACCCAGGGAAACCUGGGCUAAUACCGGAUACGUAAACCUGUGGCAUCACAUGGUUUUGGAAAGUUUUUCGAUUGAGGAUGGAUUCGCGGCCUAUCAGCUUGUUGGUGAGGUAAUGGCUCACCAAGGCGACGACGGGUAGCCGGCCUGAGAGGGUGAACGGCCACACUGGGACUGAGACACGGCCCAGACUCCUACGGGAGGCAGCAGUGGGGAAUAUUGCGCAAUGGACGAAAGUCUGACGCAGCGACGCCUCGUGAGGGACGAAGGUCUUCGGAUUGUAAACCUCUUUCAGCAGGGACGAAGCGAAAGUGACGGUACCUGCAGAAGAAGCACCGGCUAACUAUGUGCCAGCAGCCGCGGUAAUACAUAGGGUGCAAGCGUUGUCCGGAUUUAUUGGGCGUAAAGAGUUCGUAGGCGGUUUUUCGCGUCGGAUGUGAAAACUCAGGGCUCAACCCUGAGCCUGCCUUCGAUACGGGAAGACUCGAGGACGG
rnacentral:rRNA from 1 species